CAGGGUAGAAGGGUCGGCGGCGGCGGUCGUAGAAGGUGGAGCCCUAGGAGGGUCUAGCCUAGCUAGAUUAUCUGGUCGCGGUGUAUCGGAGGAGGAGGUAGGUGUCGACGGGAGGAGACGAGUAAGAAGGGGCUCGUACGAAGGGGCGCGUCGUUCAUCCUCGGCGUUGGGGACGAAGGGGAGCACGAUGGGCACGCGGCGACGCUCGUCGUGGUCGCGGACGCAGGGGCAGCCGGAAACCGGGACGUCGUUGGAGCGGUCUCGUGGCUUAGUCCUCCGAAAACGUGGUACCGCAGUUUACUUCGAAACAUCGGCGGUACGGGCUGCGGAGGGUCCCUCGAGGAACGUCGGAAGACAGGCGAAGCAGAGUACGGCCUGGAGCGGCCACGCUAGGGCUGGGGGAACGCGGGAACUAAGAGAGGGAAUACGGGAGAUUGGAGGGGACGAGAAGGGAGAGGAGAAGACUCGUUCCUCGUCCUGGUGAAGUAGGUACCGCGGCGGGAGCGGAGCAGAGCUAGGCCACCUAAGCUUGCGGUUCAGGAGUGGCUUGGUCUUCCUCGCUCGAGGUACCGGUGGGCAGGGGAACGUCGUGGUCGGCGGCGACCCUCAAAGUGUAGCGCGGCGGGCCCAAGACGUAGGAGACGGCCUGGAGGGGAUGAAGCGGAACCAGGCGGCGGUGACGGGUAGCGCAGCAGGAAGCAGUUCAGGACGCGACGGCGGCAAGCUCUCCUCCUGCUGCCUCGGCACGGGGACGCAACUGAAGAGUAGCUCUGCGAGGUCGGCCGGGUAGCGAAGUCGGGCGGUCGCUUAGGUGGUUUCGGGUCGGUGGGCGACGAUCAAAACAAAAAGGACGUCCGGAGGGAGAAGUAGACCAGCCCGGUCCGGGUUUCACUCGUCGAGGGUGGUCGGGUCAAGGGAGUCUAAAGUCGGGUAAACAAAAAAAGGAAACAGGUCGCUUAAAACGUAAAUUGCUCACGUACGUAUAAUGUCUUUACGGUAAAAGAACGUAACGAGUAUUAAUUUAUUGACACGUGGCCUAAUUUUACUAGAGAUAUACUUUGAACGAAUCUUAAAGUAGAUCAAAUUAUUAUACGUUGAAAGUACGUACAAAUUUUACAGGUUUUACGACAAACAAAUUUAAACGAGGAUACAGUACAAUUUUACCAAAUUAAGUAUUGAAUUAUUGGCAUCGAGGUUUGGAUUAUUUGAAAUAUACAUUUACCCCAUCUUAUUACGGAUCAUAUUGUACCACCGGAAUGAAACGUACAAAUUGUUGAGAUUUUAACACAAAUCCCGUCUUGUCAUGGUUUGGAUUAUAUACGUAUACUCCUCAAAGGCCUGAACAACAAAACAACAAGGCCGGAGUAAAUUUGAACGGAUCUAUCCAUCAAAAUAAAACGAAGUGGGAGAACGGUAAAAUUAGUUGUAAAUUGGAACAACCUAUGUAUUUGCUCUAGCUUCAUUUAUUGAACAGCACCACAAAGCAGUUGUACGUUGAACAACGUAUAACUCGAGGUGAAUUAAACAUCCUAACAAACACGUGAAACGGUACGGUACGUAUAAAUUUGGCCUGUACGUAGUAUGAACUAACACGUAGCACGGUACGAAUACACCACCAACAAAUGGUACUAACAAACGAGGAAAGGCCACAACGAAGAAGCCCAACCAAGGCUAUUGCAGCGUAAACACUCCUAGGGAAGCUGAAGCAGGCAAACAGAAGAAGUACCUGAGCAAGAAGAGGGAACGCCCUAAAGUCAAACGUCCACGACUACAAUGGUUCGUCCACUGCGUUGGUUCGGGUUCCUCCUCGAGCUACUUCUAGAACAGGAAACACAACAAAGCAAGAUCAUCUAGUCAUCACCUCGGGUCAACCCCAGCUAGCCCCUGGAACAGCGUAAACCCCAAGAAGAAAAUAAAACCAAGGCAUCAGCCUGGAACUAACAUAAACCAACUACAUUACGAAAUAAGUACAUUAACACACUUCACCGCUAACAUUCGGUUGAUACAUAGAGAAAGGGAAUACAUAAUGUACCCAACACACUUCUAAUGG
rnacentral:rRNA from 1 species